rnacentral:rRNA from 1 species
AUUGAACGCUGGCGGCAUGCCUUACACAUGCAAGUCGAACGGCAGCACGGAGCUUGCUCUGGUGGCGAGUGGCGAACGGGUGAGUAAUAUAUCGGAACGUACCCUGGAGUGGGGGAUAACGUAGCGAAAGUUACGCUAAUACCGCAUACGAUCUACGGAUGAAAGUGGGGGAUCGCAAGACCUCAUGCUCGUGGAGCGGCCGAUAUCUGAUUAGCUAGUUGGUAGGGUAAAAGCCUACCAAGGCAUCGAUCAGUAGCUGGUCUGAGAGGACGACCAGCCACACUGGAACUGAGACACGGUCCAGACUCCUACGGGAGGCAGCAGUGGGGAAUUUUGGACAAUGGGCAAAAGCCUGAUCCAGCAAUGCCGCGUGAGUGAAGAAGGCCUUCGGGUUGUAAAGCUCUUUUGUCAGGGAAGAAACGGUGAGGGCUAAUAUCUCUUGCUAAUGACGGUACCUGAAGAAUAAGCACCGGCUAACUACGUGCCAGCAGCCGCGGUAAUACGUAGGGUGCAAGCGUUAAUCGGAAUUACUGGGCGUAAAGCGUGCGCAGGCGGUUUUGUAAGUCUGAUGUGAAAUCCCCGGGCUCAACCUGGGAAUUGCAUUGGAGACUGCAAGGCUAGAAUCUGGCAGAGGGGGGUAGAAUUCCACGUGUAGCAGUGAAAUGCGUAGAUAUGUGGAGGAACACCGAUGGCGAAGGCAGCCCCCUGGGUCAAGAUUGACGCUCAUGCACGAAAGCGUGGGGAGCAAACAGG